rnacentral:tRNA from 8 species
GCUUCUUUAGUUUAAUGGUAGAACGCCAUCCUUACACGGUGGCUGCGGUGGUUCGAUUCCAUCAAGAAGCA